UACAGGGGGGGGCAAGCGUUGUUCGGAAUUACUGGGCGUAAAGGGCUCGUAGGCGGCCGGCUAAGUCCGACGUGAAAUCCCCAGGCUUAACCUGGGAACUGCGUCGGAUACUGGCGGGCUUGAAUCCGGGAGAGGUGAGUGGAACUGCGAGUGUAGAGGUGAAAUUCGUAGAUAUUCGCAAGAACACCGGUGGCGAAGGCGGGUCUCUGGGCCGAAACUGACGCUGAGGAGCGAAAGCGUGGGGAGCGAACAGG
rnacentral:rRNA from 1 species